rnacentral:rRNA from 1 species
CCUACGGGAGGCAGCAGUGGGGAAUAUUGGACAAUGGGCGAAAGCCUGAUCCAGCAAUGCCGCGUGAGUGAUGAAGGCCUUAGGGUUGUAAAGCUCUUUUACCAGGGAUGAUAAUGACAGUACCUGGAGAAUAAGCUCCGGCUAACUCCGUGCCAGCAGCCGCGGUAAUACGGAGGGGGCUAGCGUUGUUCGGAAUUACUGGGCGUAAAGCGUACGUAGGCGGUUAUUCAAGUCAGAGGUGAAAGCCUGGAGCUCAACUCCAGAACUGCCUUUGAAACUAGAUAGCUAGAAUCUUGGAGAGGUGAGUGGAAUUCCGAGUGUAGAGGUGAAAUUCGUAGAUAUUCGGAAGAACACCAGUGGCGAAGGUGACUCACUGGACAAGUAUUGACGCUGAGGUACGAAAGCGUGGGGAGCAAACAGGAUUAGAUACCCUGGUAGUCCACGCCGUAAACGAUGAUAACUAGCUGUUCGGGCUCUACGAGCUUGAGUGGCGCAGCUAACGCAUUAAGUUAUCCGCCUGGGGAGUACGGUCGCAAGAUUAAAACUCAAAUGAAUUGACGG